rnacentral:sRNA from 1 species
AAUUUGACGACGCCGACCUCAUAGGG